UACGGAGGGUGCGAGCGUUGUCCGGAAUCACUGGGCGUAAAGAGCUCGUAGGCGGUUUGUCGCGUCUGCCGUGAAAACCCGGGGCUCAACCCCAGGCCUGCAGUCGAUACGGGCAGACUAGAGUGCGGUAGGGGAGACUGGAAUUCCUGGUGUAGCGGUGAAAUGCGCAGAUAUCAGGAGGAACACCGGUGGCGAAGGCGGGUCUCUGGGCCGUAACUGACGCUGAGGAGCGAAAGCGUGGGGAGCGAACAGG
rnacentral:rRNA from 1 species